AUUUACUUUAUUAUAAUUUCGAAAAAUUACGAAAUUUAUUUUUAAGAAGUUUCAAAUACUCUAGAUCAUAUUUAACGGAGUGGAUCGUCGAUUCAGAAGCUCCAUCAUCGAAAACAACUUAUGAGUACGAAGGGCUCUAUAUUCAUAAGAGUAUAGUAGCCCUACUCAUAUAUAUAUAUAUAUAUAUAUAGAGAGAGAGAGAGAGAGAGAGAGAGAGAGAGAGAGAGAGAGAAAGUUGAGCUGGAAUGCUAUUAGUAGCAAACGGGCUCCGUUACCACCCAUUUAUUUUCGAUGAUGAAGCCUUCAAAUCGGCGAUCGGCACAAUUGAAUAUAAUCUAUAGCACUUGAAGUAUCUAAAAAAUCAAAUUUCAAAUCUUUUCGACAUCAUUGACCUAAUGAUCAAAGGAUUUCAAAAUUUGUAAUUUUAAUGGUCGAUAUGAGGUGUUUUCUAGUUUAACGGUGAAAAGAUAUCCAAAUCAAUUGAAUUUGGUUAGAAAAUUUUUUAAACUGUUUAGAACAAGAUCUGGAACAAGGCUUCUAUCAUCACUUUUUAGAGGAUAUUCAUUUUCAGCCGUUCAUUUUUGUGUCCACUUUAUGGAUAAGAGAACAAUAUCGAAAAAGCAUAAAAUUUGAUUUCUAGAUACUUCAAGUGGUAUAGAUCAUGUUCAAUAGUGCUGAUCGUCGAUUUGAAGGCUCCAUCACGAAAACAAUGGGUGGCAUGGAGCCUAUUUGCUACCGAUAACAUUCCAGCUCAAUUUUAUACAUAUAUAUGUAUAUAUAUAUAUAUAUAUAUAUAUAUAUAUAUAUAUAUAUAUAUAUAUAUAAACAGAUGAUGAGGUGAAUAUGUGAAGGUCACUUUGACAUUUUAUCCACUGGUACAUGUUCUUCAUUCCUACUGUAUUUUUUUCUUUUGGCUGCGAUAACAUUUUCUGCUUGUAGGUCUGGGGAUUCUCGUGGCUUUGGGUUUUUAUCAUUGGAGAGGGAUGAAGAUGCAGAUGCAGCAAUACGUGCUUUAGAUCAGACUGAGUGGAACGGUCGGAUCGUCCUUGUGGAGAAAUCAAAGACGCCUGUACGCUGAAGAAGUUCCAUCUUCAAACAUUCACAGAGAGAGAGAGAGAGGACCAUUACAAUUUUCCCAGCAUUUCAUACCGAAUCUUCCCUUCAACCAUAUUACAUAAGUUGUGAACCUAUAUGGCAAGUAUUACUUUAACCCUAAAACUGGACUAUUGAUGUUGUACUAGGAUCUAUUUGUCUGCUUUAAAAAUUUUAAUAGUGAAUUUGAUAAUUACUAUGAACGUAAAAGAUAUGCUUGCGUGUCACGCUUAGAUAUUUAAUAGAAUGAGGGGAAUCUGUUCCUUCAAAUAAUACCUCUUGUGAACUCUUUCAGGUUACAGGAGCAGAUAGUACAUGAAAGUUAUCUGUCCCUUUUUAACUCUGCGAACCUCUACAUGAGUACCAUGAUUCACGAACACGUACCCUAUAGGAGCCCGCCAUCUCAUAACUGAUCAUUUUGGAGUUAUCAUACCUGCAAUGGAUAUGUUUGAUCGGUGAAAACGAUGUCUAUUUAUGAAACACGGAUCUUCUGGGUUAAUUACAAACUAAGCCUGAUUUCAAAUACAUUCUUUAGAGUUUAAAAUUUAACACUUUAGUCCCUGAAGUUUAUUUGAUGUAACAACUAAAUCCUUCCGUCCAGGUACUUGUUUAAAAGGUUAACAAAUCACCAUCAUCUGAGAAAAACUGUAGGCUAACGGAAAUACUUAGUUGUUACAUAGGACCAAUGUCAGGGACAAAUUUGUUAAUGUGGAAACUCUGAGGAUGUAGUUGGUGUCGUACUUCAAAAGUUAAAAGUGUAACUAACCCCUUUUUUUUCUUUCAUUUUUUUGCCUAUUAUUGGCUAUUUUCCUACUUUGUGUUCCAGACGUUCCUCUUGUGGUGCAGGGUUUGUCUAGUUUUAGAUACCUCAAAAUCAAGCUUGAUGUUCGGUCUUAUCCCUACUCCCAACUCUGUUUUGGCACUAUAGAAUCCUUGAAUGUUGAAUCUCGAACAACCUGCGGUGGAUUUACCAUAAUUGCUGUUGGUUUGCUUUUCUACAUCUUAUUCCUUGUGCUCUGAUGAGUGCCUGCACAAACAUUUUCUGUUGUUAACUGCACGAGCUUCCUAAUUGCAUUGUUAUUAUUUUGUUGUAUGUCUUCACUAAGUAUGUUAAGGGGGGUUUCUUUUGCUUCAGCUAUUGUCACUUGAAUACUAUAGAGGUUAUUGAUGUGGCUAGAACUUUUAUUUCCAGCACUAUUGACAUGUUUGAAAUAAUAGUUCUCAUCAAAUACAAUUGAUCAUCUUGGUAUUUUGUAGACAAAGUUUCGCUGCUUCUAUUGAUGGUACAUGACGUGCUGAACUAAAGCAGGAAAAGAUGUAUCUAAGUACUGUCUCUUAAUUGUCAUGUGACUUAAUCUGUUUUGAUUUGUGGCAACCAUACGUAAUUAACAGUUUAAUACAGGAGGGUAAUCAGUCUUCCAUAUACACUUAGUGAGAGUUUGUUUAUAGAUGGUAUGUAGGCUUUAGCAUGGCUUUUACAAGCUUUAUGAAACAGUUACAGCAAAUUCAUUCCGAAAGCUUUCUUUGAAUCAUUAUUUAAGUGUAGGUGCCAACGGAAUUAUAGGAAAUGCUAUAUUUUCCCUCUGGAUUAGUUUAAUAUGGUUUUCAUUGUAUGUAUAUUGGACUUGCACAUUGUCACAUCAUUUUAAUUCCUUAUUUUUACGGUGUUUCGUGACGCGUUUAUGGCUUGGGAUCAAGUAAAUGUUUUUUCUCAGUAGUUGCUUGGAUGAGAAUGAAUUGCUUCGAUUUUGAUUAAUAUUAAUUUUGAUUAAUAUUAGUUCUACAUCAUUUGGGAUUUAGUUCAGUUACGCCCCACUUGUGUUUUAAGAUUUUGAAAUGAUUUUUCUUUGAUUAAGCCCUAAUUAUAUUAGUUAUGGUUUAAAAAGGAUGGACUCUAAUACUGUGGGGUUUUUAUAACUUCUCCAGUUACGUAUCUUAUUGCAUAUGGUGAUUCCUCUCGAACUGUAUGACUAAAAAGAGUCUUAAAGAGUUUGAAAUUGUUUUUAUUUAUCCUCUAUUUCGAAUUGUUUGGGGUUUAUAUUCCUUAGUCUGAGGGCAUAGAAGAAAUUGGUUUAAAGAAUUUUCCUUUCGAAUCUUUGUAUUCAGUUUGUGUCAUCAUCCUCUCGAAUAACUAUUUGUUGCGAGGUAAAGUUCAUGUUAUACUGGUAAUUAGGAUUUACAGGCAAGUAGCAAUGCUGAAAAAUUCUUGUGUCAAUUGCAUAAUUUGUAUGGAAUGUUUGUGUAGGAGGUGCAUAAUUAGUACAUUACCUGUCACAAAACAGAGUUAUGUAGGACUUGCAUUAUUUUUUGGCUGUUGCAAUGAUUCUUUUUUAAUAGUGGGCAAGGAUUAGCAGGGUGUUUGUAGUCAGAAAAUAUCUGUGAGGGGAUUAUUUGUUUCUUUGAGGGCUUGGAAAUGUUGAUGGAAUGAGAACAGCAAGAUGCUGAAACAGAAUAAGAGAAAGCAUUAAUCUGUCUGCUUCUUCCCUGUUUAAGGUAAACUAAGUUUUGUGUAGAAGAAAGAUUUCUAUAAGGAGCUUCCUUUAGAAGCUAUUAUAAGAAUUUUGAUGCUUUUUAUCUAGCUAGUCCUUUCAAAUUCAUUUAUUGCGGUAAGGUUUACUUUAUUCAUUUUCCUUUUUGUUUUGCUUCAAUUCUUUUACAAUUAAACUUAAAAUGUAAAAUAAUUAGGUUUCAAACUUAGAACCUCGAAUAUCAACCAGCAAGCUUUAGUUGAUUGGACGAGAAAAAAUAGGAAUGUUGGAUGGAGUGCUCUUGAAGGAGAAAUGUGUCUGGAUGGGUCUAUCGUUCUGCCGUUUUCUUGCAUUUGCUUUCAGCUGCAGCCGUCUUUAAAUAAACAUUAGCAAUAAGGAAUUGAAGAAAAUAAAAAGGGAAAACUUCAAAAACCCCUCGUGUGGUUUCGUAGUUUCUCACUUUGGCCCCCUGCGGUUUAAAAUGUAUUAAAUUGCCUCCCUAUGGUUUCGUUUUUUUCUUUUCGGUAAUUUUUUCGUUAAUAUUUUAUUAAAUUAUAUAUAAAAAAUUUCAGAUAUUCAUCUAGAUUUAUCAAAUAUUUACUUUAGUACUCUUUAAUUUUAACUUCAUCACUAAUUUAAGAAAAAAAGAUAAUGAAAUUGAUAAGAAAAAGGGAAGAAAGAAAUCACGGGGGGGGGGGCCAAAUUGAUACAUUUUAAACUACGGGGGGCAAAGUGAGAAACUACGAAACCACACGGGGGGUUUUUGAAGUUUUCCCAAAUAAAAAUGCCAUGUUGAGGUCCAAAAACAAAACAUUUCAUUUUUGUGCUUUUGAUUGUACAGCUGUAGGAAGAAACUUAUGUAUUGUUUUUUUUUUCCCUAAUUGCACUUUUCAGACAAGCUCUUCAUUGUGUAGCGCUCCAUUAUCUUUUCUCUCAUGCUCUCUCUCUUAUCUGAUACUCUCCCUUCUUUUUCUUUGAUCUUCAUGGUGCUACCUAAUUAGUAGGAAGUGAACAUAGCUUUGAGAGAUAUUUAUUGUGUCAUACAUUAAUUCCUAAGCGGAGGUUUCCUAGAUUUUUUUUUUUUUUNCAACAAACUAUUUUUAUUUAUAAAAUAAAUUCUUUAACAAAUGUGAAAAAAAAAAUAUCAGAAGAAACAAAGUAAAUACUUUAGUACAACAUACUUGGCUUUAUUAAAUGCAUAAACCAACCGAAACAGAAAAUUUAAAAAAAAGGAAAAAAAUGUAAACUAUACCGAGUAGACAAGUUUUUAGUAACUAAAAUAGAAGGAGACGGUUUUGUUUGGUUUUACUAUUUUUGUGUUUAACUCAAUUAUGAAGCCGUUAUUCAAUUUCUUUAGUACUUAGGCUUCAUUUGGGAUUGUGGAAAAAUUACGUUACGUGCGGUCGGAAAGGACAAAAGAAACAUAUUCUGUUUAUUUCCGUACAUAAUAUUGCGUUCCGCAUAUUGCGAUUAGCUGGUUACGAUAUAUUUUCUACUGUUCCAUCGGAGAAUGCAGAAGUAUAUCCUUAUACAUUUUUUUCUCAACUCCAUUUAAUUUAAUAGCGUUAGAUAGACCUCAAUACCAAACUAAGUCUUAAAAAUAUCAAAGUUAUUUUGCUGACAGAAACAUGUCGUCAAAACUAUAACAAUUUUACUAAAUAGCGUGUAAAAAGAAAAAAAAAGUAAGAUAAUAAUUUAAGAAGAGAAAGCAAAAAAAAUAAUUUAAUAAAGAAAUCAAUACCUUGGGAUGAAAAUGUUGACAAUCAAUAAUAAAACAUUUUGUAAGCUUUGGGGUAAUUAAUAUACUUUUUCUAGAAACAUUGAAAAUUAUUUUAACUUAAACUUAGCUAUUGUCAUUUAAUAAAUAAGAAAAUUACUUUCAUUUAAUAAAUAAUAAAAUGGGCCCAGAUUUCCUUAUUUGAGUCCAUUUUCAAAGAUGAGGAUAAAAAAAGCAUUCCCAUCUAAUAAAUUUAAUAAAUAAAAUAAAAUGGUGGGCCCCACAUUCCUUGAGUCAAGGAGAAGGCUUCGAAAGGUUCUCAAUUAGUAAGUUUAUAAAUAAAUUGUCUAGAACUCAAGGCAUAAAAUUAUCUUAUAGUUCAAUAUACAAAAUAAAGUGAGGCUGGUAUGCUUUUGGAAGUAUAGAGCCCUUCGUACUUUUAAGUCAUUUUUGAUGUUGGGACUUCGAAUCAACGAUCAACUCCGCUAGAUUUGAUCGAGAGUAUUUGAAGUACCUAAAAAAUAAAGUAUGUGAUUUUUUAACAUCAUUUGUCCAGUGAUCAAAGGGGUUCAAAAUCAAUAAUUUUAAUGGUCGUGGUGAGCCGUUUGCAAGUUUAACGGUGUAGAAAUAUCUAAAUCACAUAAAAUUUUGAUAGAAAAUUGUUUAUACUAUAUAAAAUAAGAUCAAUAUUUUUUAUCUAAAAUUUUAAUGUCAUAUCAUCAUAUUUUGUAACAUUUUUAUUUUUAGCCAUUGAUUUUGAGCACUUUCGAUCAUUAGGCAAAUGCUAUCAAAAAAUUGUGAAAUUUAUUUUCUAAAUACUUUAAAUACUCUAAAUUAAGUCUAACGGAGCCGAUCGUCGAUCUGAAAGUCCCAAUAUUGAAAACGAUUUGGAAGCACAGAGAGCUCCGUGCUUUCCGAAGCAUACCGGCCACACUCUACAAAAUAAAUGUAUGAAAUGCAAUAGUAUAUUAGUAAGAAAAAUGAUUUGUUUGUUGAUAUAUAUCUAAACUUGUAAGGAAUAUCCAUUUUUAUUUGUGGGUCGGCUUGAUUAUGUGGGGAUAAUGGCCCGAUGGCCUAAAAUACAUAUACAUACAAUUAAAAUACAUAUUAUAUAUAAUUGAAAUACAUAUUACAUAUAAUUAUAUAUAUAUAUAUAUAUUUAUAAAUAAUUUUAAUAUACAUAUAUAUAUAUAUAUAAAUAUAUUAGAGCUUUUUGCUUGUAAGUCGAACGAGUUUAGUAAUGCUCAAGCCCGGCUUGAAAUUAAUUUCGAGUUAUUUUGUUUAUUCCUGUUCAAGCUCAGCUCAUCUAAUUACGAGUCGAGCUCAAGCAAUCCGAAUACUAAGCCGAACAUGACGGCUCACUCACUUGCCAGCCCUAUUAUUUAUGGAGGUUUUUUUGCAUAGUAGUCCACAAAAUCUUUUUAUAUUGCUAAUAACUCCUCUAACGCUUACUAUUGCAUGCUACUCCCCCAAUCAACCUAUUCUAUGCAUAUUAGCCCCUCAAGUUUAAGUUUAAUAGCUAGUCUAAGAAAUAUUUCAAAAAUAAACUUUACCAAUGCUAAUCUCUCAAUAAGACACUAAUAGGAGAGCUGAGCACCUAGGCUUUUAAAAGCACAGGAGCAUUUAUGCUUAUAACUUUUCAGCCGUUGAAUGAGCUCAAGAUCAGUACAAUAUUAUUAACGGUGUGCCCCCAUUAAGUCCUUUUUAUUAGUACUGUACGGAUCUCGAAACGAUUCGACUGCUGAAAAAUCACAAGCACGUUGAAUUCCUGUGCUUAUAAAAGCGCGGGAGCUCAACUCCUAAUAGGAUGACAAUUCUACCCCGCAAACCUAUGUAACUAAUGGCGUCAUUCAAAGCAUUCCCCAAUAAAUUCUCAAAUAACCCCACCAGCUCCCCUGUUCAUUUCUCAGCCUCUAUGACCCUUCAAAUGGCAAAGAACAGGUACAAAAUACAAACUAGAAUGUAAGAUCUAAUUAAGAUUGACAAAAUAAAGAGCAGGAACUAAUUUCCACUAAACUAGCGAUUUGAAGGUUUCGAUUUCUUCGUAGAAUGUUCUUGGGAUGAAGACAUGAUGAUAUUCAGAGAUAUAUAAACCAUUUUGAAGCUGAGGGGAGAGUACAGAAGGUAGAAUGGGAUGUCAGAAGGAAGAUAGUCAGAAAAGACACUGAGGAGUGUUCUUUUCAUCUCCUAAAGGACCGACCGACGUCAUCCGAAUAACAAAGUUUUGAAGGACUCAUAUGCAAUAUUAAAAGGUUUCAGACACUUAUGUGCUAAAAUCCCUCCGACUAAAUAGCAGGGUUGAUUAUACACCAUUGCCCUUCAACGUACUUCGAGUUCGAAAACCUGAGAUUCAUCAGUUGCUUACGAAAUUCUAGAGCAGUGUCGCAGUUUGUUCCGAAUAACUGUUUUCAUUUCAGUAGGACAAUUCAUAGCCUGAAGAAAAGGAAAAGAAAUAGCAAACAGUACAUAUCGAUACAGGACUCACCUUCAUUAGUUAACUAGCAAUCGACGACGACGUAUAAUCAUAUCACUCAGUCAUAACACAUACCUCUUUGGAGAACACCUCGGUUACUAUUCUCAACGCUCCUUCCCCUUUAGAGGUAUUUGAAUUCUUUGUCUAACUUUAGUAUCAAAGUUCUGCCCAAAGCCCGACAAUUCGUAGGCUUUAUCUUAAAAUCUGCUGCCAGUAAAAGCAAAUACUAAGGAAACGAAAAAAGAAAAAGAAAAAGAAAAAGGUUAUUACUUGCAGCCUACUUCUUUCCUGUGCUCUCUUCUUCACCCUCUCGACCGCAUUUCAGAUGUAUCUCAUAACCGCAACCAAGACAUUGGUAUGCCCAACCCAAUCCUUGCUCGUUACACUCGCAACACAUAUAAGGGCCGCCGCCUGAUUUCUCAGACACCAAAUUAAGCACAUGAUGGUGACCCACGUGGUCGAAAGAGCUCGGAUAAGCCUUGGCUUCUUCAUUUUGCUUUUCCUGGAGCAAUCGCAGUUGCAGUUCAGUAAAAGGAAAAGCCAGUUCAGAGUGCAGGUUUAUUAGACUUCUCCCUUCUUUUGUAACCGUCUUUCCGUCAGGACCAAUUAUGACAAGAGUAGGUAUUUCUUGCACAUCAAAAUAUCGGGCUAAAGCCCUCGAGAACUCUUCGUCAUAUGGUAAUGCAAGCCACGGCAUGCUAUCAAAACAUUGCAAGUAGUCAUCAAUGUUUUUAUCCAUGGAAACAAACACAACCUCAAAAUUUUCAUUCUUUUCUCUCAAGUUGGCAUAUACGGAUGCCAAUUUUGCAGUAAAUUUCACACAAGGAGGACACGGUUGAGCAGAGAAGUAUAAUCCUACUGUUUUUCCCACCAAAUUCGACAGUUUAACAUUUUUCCCAUGAUUAUUCACAUAAUCUCUACCCUCUAUUGAGAGGAGCAUCUCUAAGGUUUGAGACGAGUGUUUCAGUCUCUCCUCCUCCACCAACUCAGCUAUCCUUUCUGAGGUGAAGGGGAAAGCGCGCGCCCCAUAGCGACACACAAGCUCGACACCAUCCGUGCUUACUAGUUCUCCAUUUGGUCCGAGUACGACGAGAGAUGGAAUCCCUUCGAUUUGAAACCUUUGGGUUAGGUAUCUCCUAGAACGGAGAUCGGUAAACGGUACGGCGAGCCAUGGCAUUGAGCGGUGGAACCGAUCGAAUGACGCCUGAUCCUCGUCAGAAGACACGAACACGACCUCGAAUCCGGAGCCUUCUUCUUUGAGUUGAUGGUACACCUUGUGCAGAACCGGGGUGAAGGUCUCGCAUUUCCAGUACCAGUUCGCGGCAAAGUACAAUCCUACGGACUUUCCUUGCAUUUCUUUAAGAUCGACCUGCAAUCUUUCCGUUUUGUGAAUACUUUACGCACAUUAGGAAAGUUAAAAGAGAAGAGGAUGAUUGACAUUCCAUUUAAGCAUUCAUUUCUAUUGUUCGCAACUUGAGCUAACCAGAAAAAGUUUCUUGAGCCUGAAGAACAGCAUGAAUUAGAUGGGUCUCACACAAAUUCUCAAAUCACACUACUCUUUAAGAACUACAGUGAUGAAUAUUCCUUUUAAAUUCAAAAAUUGAGACGAAAAUCAAGAUUUUAACCGGUGUACUCUAAAAGUUUAAGCUAUUAGAGAACGGCAUUUAUGUAUUUUAUAUUCAACAAAAUGAAACAGUGAAAACUCCAUCUAAUAAGUUUGAAGAAAGCGCUGUGUUAAUAUAUUUUAUAUUCAACAAAAUGAAACAGCAAAAACUCCAUCUAAUAAGUUAGAAGAAAAGUUGUUGAUUAAUAUAUAUAUAUAGAGUGUUGGAAGGGUGAUUUGCUCUGAUACCACUUGUAGGAAGCUUGAUUUGCUCUGAUACCAAUUAUAUAACCCAAGAUCUAAGAUAAAAUAAAAUAAUAUGGAGAAGAGAUAUUGGAAGAGGAAGAAGAAAAGUAAACUAAUACUCUAUUAAUAAAAAGCAAGAUGAAACCCAUGUAGCCAUGUCUACUGUGACUUAUUCCUCUAAUUAACCCAUGUCUAAUUAUAUAUAGCUAUCAAAUCAUAACAGAUAAUAAAUGCAACUUUUACUUUGGAUAAUUACAAAUUCCAAUCAUAAUCAAAUAAAAGACUUAAACUUAUCUCUAACUAUAUUUUAAUUAAGUUUGGAUUACUAUUCCAACAUGGAGUCCGGCUAUGGUGCUUGUAAAAGUUGCAUUUAUUAUCUGUUAUGAUUUGAUAGCUAUAUAUAGUUAGGCAUGGCUUAAUUAGAAAAUAAGUCAUAAUAGACAUGGCUGAGGAUGUCAUAUAGAAUGUAAUUAAUUGCUUAUUAUUUUAGUUAUCUUCUUCUUUCUCCAAUAUCCCAUCUCCAUAUUAUUUUGUUCUAUUUUAGAUCUUGGGUUAUAUAAUCGGUAUCAACACAAAUACCGGUUCCAACAAUUGGUAUUAGAGAAAAUGACACUUCCCAACAAUUAGUAUCAGAGCCGGAAAGUANUAUAUAUAUAUAUAUAUAUAUAUAUAUAUAUAUAUAUAUAUAUAUAUAUAUAUAUAUCAAUGUUUGAAAAGGGGCGCGCGCCCUAGCACCUAGGCGCAAGGCACGAGUCUCGGCAUCUCAAGGAGUGAGGCACGCACCUCAGACACGUCUCAAACACACCUCGUGAUAUUUACGUUUAAUGUGUCUAGAGUUUGGGUUUUCGAAUUUUGAAUUUCUUCAAUAUAUUCUAAAAUGUUAAGAAUUUUUCUAAAAAAAUUUUAAUUAAACGUUUUUUUUUCCUUUUUCUCUUGGUCGUUCUCUUUUCCACCCCCCAAUGGCAAUAAGUAGCAGCGACAAGAAACAAGAAGCAGCAGCAAGCACUUUUAAGUUGAAAGUUAAAAUAUAAUUUUUUUAUUUUUAGGCUGAGAAUAUUUAUGCAUGCGAUUUUUUUACUUUUUAUGGUUAUUUUGUUUUUGUAUAACUAUUUUAGAAGUUUUUAACAUAAAACAUUCAUUUAAAAUAGGCUUGAUAAGAGUGUUUUAUUUUUUAUUAGAUGUGAGCCUCACCUUCUUGAGGCGCAUGCCACGUAGUGCGCCUCACGCCUAGGCUCCAUAAGGCCUUUGUGCUUUUUUGCGUCUUACGCCUUUUCAAACACUGAUAUAUAUAUAUAUAUAUAUAUAUGGUGGGCUGGUAUGCUUCUGGAAGCACAGAGCCUUCCGUGCUUCCAAGUCGUUUUCGAUGUUGGGACUUUCGAAUCGACAAACGGCUCCGUUACACUUGAUCUAGAGUAUUUGAAGUACCUAGAAAAUAAAUUUUGUGAUUUUUCGAUAUCAUUUGCCUAGUGAUCGAAGGGACUCAAAAUCAAUAAUUUUAACGGCCGUAGUGAGUCGUUUGCAAGUUUAACGGUGUAGAAAUAUCCAAAUCACGUGAAAUUUUGAUAGAAAAUUCUCUAUACUAUAUAAAACAAGAUCAAUAACUUCGAUCUAAAAUUUUAAUGUCAUAUCAUCAUAUUUUGUAAGAUUUUUAUUUUCAGCCGUUGAUUUUGAACCCCUUCGAUCACUAGGCAAAUGAUAUCGAAAAAUCACAAAAUUUAUUUUCGGGGUAAUUCAAAUACUCUAGAUCAAAUCUAACGGAUCCGAUCGUCGAUUCGAAAGUCCUAACAUCGAAAACGACUUUAAAGCACGGAGCGCUCCGUGCUUCCAGAAGCAUACCAGACGCACUCAUAUAUAUAUAUAUAAUAUAUAUAUAUAUAUAUAUAUAUAUAUAUAUAUUAUAUAAUAUAAUAGGCUAGGCUACUAUCCAUUAAUAGGAUAGUAGCACUUGUCCUAUAAAAUGGUUCUUGAUGAUAGAAAUUCCGAAUCGAUGAUCGGAGCGUUGAAGUUAAUCUAGAGUAUUUGAAAUAUCUAGAAACUAAAUUUCAUAAUUUUAAAAAUUAUUUAUAUGGUGAUCAAAGUGUCGUAAAAUCGCAAUUUUUGACAGCUAUAUAAGCCGUUUGCUUGUUUAACGCGUGUAGAGCAAUCCAAAUUGCUUGAAUUUUUAUAGAAAAUUAUUUAUACUAUUAGAUAAUGUUUGAUAACUCUGAUUAUGAAUUGAGAAAGUCUAACCUCUAUUUUAAGAAGGCUAUUCUAUUAUAACCGUUCAUUUUUUCAACUCUUAAGAUGAACUUGAUAAUGAUUUUUAAAUAUUACAAAAUUAGUUUCUAAACAUUUCUAAUUGUGUAGAUCAAUUUCAACGGUGCCGAUUAUUAAUUUGAGUUCCGAUCAUACAAAACGACUUGAUAGGACAAGUCUCCUAUCCUACUAAUAGGAAAGUAGCCGACUAUAUAUAUAAUUAUAUAUAUAUAUAUAUAUAUAUAUAUAUAUAUAUAUAUAUACACACAAACCAGGCUAGAAUGCUAUUAAUAGCACCAAGUCAUUGGUGCUAUUAAGUUUUCGGCCCUUGGAUAAAGGGUUGUAGGUUAUGAUGAUAGUGGUCCCCUAGGGUUGAAUGGGUGGUUUGUCGAAUAGUAUGAUCUAACGGGUAGAAAUGAUCAAAGGGUAGAUUUAACGGCAGAAAACUUGGUGGCACCAACACCAAGUGCUUGGUGUUAUCGAUAGCAUUGUAGCCGGGCUCAUAUAUAUACAUGAUUUUAUCAAGAAUGAAAUAUUUCUACAUAUAUACAUAGACCUUAUGGGAGCUUUCUAAACAUGGUUUGAAAGCAACUCCAAAGGAUUUUUACAUAGUAUGUUUUGAAUUGUUUACUAUUUCAUCUUUUAUCUCACUUUCCUUGUCCUUAGAAAUAACUAUUUCAUCCUACAAAUAAAUCAAAAAGAAACAAAACCACAACACAACUCAUAUUUGACUCUGCCCUCUUUUCUUUUUAUUUUUCUUUUUUAUGGGCUUCACAUGUGAAAAACAAGGAUGGGAGGGUUAGAGAAUUUUUUUUUUUUUUUUUUUUUUUUUUUUUUUUUUUUUUUUUUUUUUUUUUUUUUUUUUUUUUUGUGGGGGGGGGGGAGGAGGGAAGAAUCCAUAACAUCAGCUGCUGACAAAAACCCAGGAGUUUUUUUCCCCCUCUUUUCUUAUGCAACCAACUUAAUGAAUUCAAGCAAAAAUGGUAUGAAUGUAUUUCUAUUUCUGAGACACAGAAAAAGAAUAAGCAAAUACAUACACACACACACACACAAUAGGAUAGGUGAAGGGAACACCUUGUCUCCUGAUGGGGAGAUGAGGAAACCAGAGGACAAGAAAGAGAAUAUGCCUCCAUUUCUGGUUGUAUUUCCAUAACCCUCUGCACCAGUGGAUGAAGAAGCUGCAUCCAUGUCCUCUCCUCCUUCUUCUUCUUCUUCUUCUUCUUCUUCUUCUUCUUCUUCUUUUCUCUCUCUCUCUCUCUCCCCCUCUCCCUCUCUCUCUUGUGGGAACUGUGCUGCUUCUUUUCGUUGGGUGUUAAGCUUUUGUGGGUUAAAAGGAACGGGGGGUUGUGGUCACCUGCGGUAAGGGGAGAAAUUUCUCCUGGAGAAAAGUACCAGAAUUAAAUUUUUAGGUUAUUUGCAUUUAUGUCCCUGCAAAUAUAGUUAAUUGCAAAUAUUAUCAUAUAAAGUUUAACUGUUAUAUAUUAUUUUUGUAAAAAUUCUAAUAUUUUCAAAUAUAUUUCUCAAAUCUGCUAUCGUUAUAGAACUGUUUAUAUUUUAAGUAAAAUGUCAAUUUUUUCAUCAUAAAUAUGUCAUUCCAAAAAGCACAACAGUAUAAUAUAAGAGGGGCAAAAAUAUCAAGUUAUCUUAUAAAUUAAUCAAGGUUAAGUAUUUAAUCUAUAGUUAAUUAAAGUUUUCUACCGGAUUCUAACGUCGGUGAUAUAUUUGAAAAUAUUAGGACUUUUGUAGAAACAACAUAUGAAAGUUGAACUUUAUAUGAAUAUAUUCGUAAUUUACUAUGUUUACAAAGACCUAUAUGAAAUUAACCCUAAAAUAUUAGGACUUUAAAACAUAUAGACACCUAUUUUUUCUCUUCUAAAUUUGGUAAUUAAUUAUGAGAAUUGAAGAAUAAAAUGAAUCUAGCUUUGAUUUUUUUUUUUUGUUUCUUUUUUAUAUGGUACGAAUAGAAGAAAUAAUUUUUUCUGCAUUUAAUGUUUUAUAAGAAAAGUGUUUUUAUAUUAUUAAAACCAACAUAUCAUCAACAUAAAAGUACAAUAUCUAAAAACUUACAACAAUAAUUUUAUCAUAAUAUUAUCGUAAUAUAUUGGCAAUCCGAGGAUAAAUUCAUAUAAUACUUGUAAUUAUAUCUAUGAACUAUUUUAAAAUUAUAUGCAGCGUAGACCUACUAUAUAUGCUAUCGAAAGUAUAAGUGAAUCGGUGCUUUCGACUUUUUGCCCCUUGGAUCAGAAAUUAUAGAAUUAAAAUGGUAAUGCUCUCCCUUAGAAUUGAGUGAUCCCUCUCAGGUUAAAUGGUCCCCUUAGGAUAAUAAUAUUCAUCCAAAUAUCAGAAAUGAUCAAACAGAUUGAUCUAAGGGCCAAAAUGUUAAAAACACUAGCUCCGUAAUACUUUCGAAAGUAUAAUAGCGCUACUCAUUAUAUAUAAUCAAUACCGACAUAUCCGUAAAGUAGAAAGAAAAUAUUGUUUUUUUUUGAGAGAGAUAGAUAGCACGCUACCCGCUUUGUUAUUUCUUAGCUGGAAAUGUGAAUCAAUUAGAAUUCGAACUUGGGUCUCGAGUACCAAUCACCAAAUUUUUUACCACUUGCUAUAGAAAUGGUCGGUGAAAAAAAAUAUUGUUGAAACAUAGAUAAACAAGUACUCAUAAUAAGGGGAUGAAAAGUGAGGUGGGGAGCAAAAUUUCCCUUGAUUUUCCUGUGGAAAAUAAAAUACUUUUCUCUCUACAAAUGGCAAAAUACAUGUUCACAUUUGCUAAGUAGAAAGCAAUGGGCACUAGGAUGUUUGUUGUACUAGGAUUCCAGCUGUGCUACUAGAAGGUUUCAGGAGAGAUUGAUGGGUGCUUUUGCUGCUUUCUUCAGUUUCAUAUUUACCAUUGAAAUUUCAACAAUUUACUUAUUUGCCACUAAAUACAAUAAUAAACUAAAUUAGGUGCAAAAUUCAAUCACAUAUAUAGCAUUUCUGUCUGCUUGUACACAUUCUUAGCGUCCGUUUGGUCUAAAUUCUUAAAAAAUAAUUUUUAUAAAAUUAAUUUUAAUUUAAAAUUUUAAUUUUUAUUAAAAAUUGUAGAGUGUUUGGCUCAGUUUAGAUAAAAAAAAAAAUGAAUUUUUCUGAAAUGUUUAUGUAAAAACUUGUUUGGCGAAAUUUUUCUAGCUUUUGGCAUAUAAUAAUUUUUUCCACAAAGCUUUAUUUUAAAAAAUUAAAAUUUUAAAUUUAAAAUCAAAAAUUAAAAUUUGAAUUCAAAUAUUAAAUAUUCAAAUUUGCACAAAAUUAUAAAUUUUGAUAUUUUAACAUAAAAUAUAAAUUUUAAAUUUGAAAUUUUAAAAUUUUAAAUCUAAAGUUACAAAUUUCAAAUUAAAAAAUCUAAAUUUAGAAUUUGAAAUUUAAAAUUUAAUAUUUAAAUUUUGAAUAUUAAAAAUUUAAAACUUUAUUUAAACUUUAAAAUUAAAAUUCAAAUUCAAAUUAAAUAUUUUAAAAUAUAAAAAUUUAAAAAUGUAAAAUUUUAAAAUUUUAAAAUAUUUAACUUUAGAAUUUGAAAUUUGUAAUUUGAAAAUUAUAACUUAUAAUUUAAAAUUUUAAAAUUUUUAAAUGUUAAAUUUUAAAUUCUACCUAUCUCUCAAAAAAAAAAACUCAAACAUUUAAUUUUAUCCUAAAUUUUAAAUUCAAAAUUUAAAAUUUUAAAUAUAAAAUUUGAGAUUUUAAAUUCAAAAUUUAAAAUUUUAAAUAUAAAAUUUGAGAUUUUAAAUUCAAAAUUUAAAAUUUUGAAUUUAAAAUUUGAGAUAAAAUUUAAAUUUGAAAUAUAAUAUUAAAUUAAAAUUUACAAUUUAAAAUUUCAAUUUUAAAAGUUUAAAUUUUAAUUUUAAAAUUUAAAAUUUCAAAAUUUAAAUAUAAAUUAUAAUUUAAAAUUUUAAAAUUCAAAUAUAAAUUUAUAAUUUAAAAUUAUAAUUUGAAUCAAAAAUCAAAAUAAAAAUUUAAUGUUUGAGUCUAAAAUCAUAAUCAAAUUUUAGGAAGCAGGUUUAGUUGCUUCUGAUUUUUUAUCUCGAAAAUCAAAAAACUGAUUUUAAAAAUUAGAAUCAGAUUUUAAAAACGACAUUGCAAAUUGCUCUAUUGAGCUGGAAAUCGCUUUUGGGCCCAAAAAUACUUUAGCUCUUUUUCUCUCUUCAGUUUAAUCAACUGUUUUUCAUCAAAAUUUAUUUAAAUUUUUAUGGAUCUUAGAAUUGGAAGAUGUAAUAUUUAUAAAUGUAUAGAUAUGCAGGUAGCAUUUUUCUUAAUCAAAUGUAGAGCACAAUUAAAAUUUUAACUAUAUAAUAAAUUUGGACUAUAGAGUCUUAGGAGAAAAAAAAAAUCAAAUAAAUCUCGCUGGUCAAAACCGCAAAGUACAAUUUAUAAUUUAGAAUAAAUUUAAAUUGAUUGUAGAAUUUCUUAGCUUAAUUAAAUUACGUAACUUGGUGUAAUACUAUUGUGAACAACACAAUUUUAAAUUAAUCUAUUAUAAAAACUAUAACAAAAAAAUAAUAUUAACACAAGUGAGUAUAUCCACGCAUUGCAGCAAAUCAAUUAUGCAUAAGCAAAAAAAUAAAAGAAGCUGAAGAAAGAAGAAAUGGGAAAAGCAUAAGAAAAAUAAAAGAAAAGGCAAAAGAAUAAAAAAAUAAAAAAGUAGAAGAUGCUAAAGAAGAAGCGGAGCAUAAAAAGAAUAAAAGAAUAAAGAAAUAAAAACUACAAAAAUAAUUUAUUAUGUUUAUAGCAACAACAAAUAUAUAAAAAAGAAUAAAAUAAGAAGCUAAGAAAGAAAAACUGGUUGGAGCAACAGAAGAUAAAAAAAAAAAAAAAUGUUAUGCGUAUCGAUUGCAAAAGUAAAUUUUAAAUAUUAUAUUUCAAAUUUUAUUAUAAAAACUUAAAUUAUGUAAUUUUUUUAAAAAAAAUUGCCAAAUCAACCAAGGAGAGUGGAUUUUCAAAAAUCCGAAUCCGAACCCGACUUCCAACCCGAGACCCGAACCCGACGGAUUUUAAAAAUCUAUAUCCAAACUCGAACCCGACCAAAAAUCCGAAACCCGAACCCGAAUCCGGACCCGAAAAUUUGAACCCGAAAUAAUUAUUUCUUUUCAAUAUUUCAAAAUAUAUUAUAUUAAAUCUAAAUUUUUAAAAUACAAAUUCAAAUAUAACAUCAAAUAUAUAUAUAUAUAUAUAUAUAUAUAUAAAAUACAAAAUAAAUUCGGGUUCGAGUUGGGUACUGUCAAAAUCCAUAUUCGUCGGAUUUCCAUUUUUGAUAUCCAUUUUCGAAUUCAUAUCCAUUUAGCGUCAGAUAUAUCCGUUUCAUUGGGAUUCGACUUCUGAUAAAAUUUUAGGCAUCCAUACCCAUUGACAUCCCUAUGGGAGCCAAAGGAAAUUAAAAAAAAAAAAAGUCCGCUUGUUUAAAUCAGCUUGAUGGCUCCACAUUGAUUUAAACUGGGUUUUUAUAUAUGUAUGUAUAAUAAUAUAGAUACAGAUAUUCAUUUUUAUUAGAAAAAACUUCAAAAAACUCUCUUGUGGUUUCAAUUUUUUUCACGUUAGUAUCCCGUGGUUUAAAAUGUAUCAAGUUAGUACCCUAUGGUUUCGCACUUUAUUACUUUAGUACUCUGUGGUUUAAAGUGUAUCAAGUUAGUACCCUAUCGUUUUGCACUUUAUCACUUUAGUACCCUGUGGUUUUAAUUUUGUAUCAGAUUAGUACCCUGUAGUUUUUAAAUCACAGGAUACUAAAGUGAUAAACUGUGAAACCACAUGGUACUAAAGUGAUAAAGUGAGAAACCAUAUGGUACUAACUUGAUACACUUUAAACCACACGGUACUAAAGUGAUAAAGUGAGAAAUUACAGAGUACUAAUUUGAUACACUUUAAAUUAUAAGAUACUUAAAUGAAAAAAUGUAAAACCACAUGAGGUUUUUUUCGAAGUUUUUCCUUUUUAUUAAGUUGAUGGUUCCUUACGCACUAUUUUAAUACAUAUCAAAUACUUUCAUUGAUAAAUCCACCUGACAAAAUAAUAUUAAAAAAUUAGCUUCUAUAUAUAUAUAUAUAUUAUUUUUUUUUAAAUUGAUUACUUUUUCAUAUACGAGAUUGACUAAACACCAAAAGGUGAUGAUGUGGGAGGAUGUAAACAAUUCAUCAAUCAAUCUUAAAGAAACUUAGAAUGAUUUAUCGAUCUCUGUCUCUCAUAUUUCAAUUUGGGAAAUGAGAUAGCCCAAUCAUUUUAGUAUCAUGUAAUUUAGAGUGUAUAAAUUUAGUGUCCAAUAGUUUCAUAUUUAUCAUUUUAUUAUUGAUUUUACUAAUUUUUUAUUAAUUCAGUAAUAAAGUUAAAACUAAAGAAUAGUAAAGUGAAUAUUUGAUAAAGUUAGGUAGAAUAUCUGAAGUUUUUUGUAUAUAAUUUAACAAAAUUAAUGAAAAAGCCGACGAAAAGAUAAAAAUAAAACCAUAGGACACUAACUUGAUACACUUUAAACCACAGAGUACUAAGGUGAGAAAGUACGAAACCACAUGGGUGGUAUUUGAAGUUACCCUAAAUAAUUUUAUGCAAGGCUUGUUUUUGCUUUCGGUCCAUCAAAAAAAAAUUAUUUUCACAAAUGGCUUUAUCAAUUUUAUAAUUAUAAUUUUGAUAUUAUUCCCGUCACACAGGCUUCACAUAAGCGUUACCCGAGCAGGCUGAAAGGGGUGAAAUAAGUUAAACGCGGUAAUUCAUUCACCAUAUCUAGACACGGUAAAUAGUUUGUCGUGUCUAUUGUAUUAUGUUGGUUGACCGCAGGACAAUAUAAUUAUUGAACACAGUAAAUUAUUCACUGUAUUUGGAUACGAUAAAUAAUUUAUAGUAUUUAACUUAACACUGAACUCCAGUAUGCUUACGUAUAGCAUCUGCAUGGCGAGAACAGAACUUUGAAUUGUAAUUAUAAAAUUAGAGCUAUUUAUAAAAAUAAUUUUUUUUGGAGGACAAAAUUCUUUUUUUUUUUAAAAAGGCCCAACAUCGAACACGCACGCGCACACAAAAAAAAUACAAACGAAACACGCACACAAUUCAUAUCUGAACGCAACAGCUCUGCUCUGUAAUUCUCCCCUUUCGUUUUCCGCGCAAUAAAGAGGAAACAAACACGCACACAAUUCAUCUCUUUUUCUUUUUUUUUUUAUUUUUUUCGGGUCAAAAAUGUGAGGCCCCUCAAUAUUGAACUUUUUGAUUGCGAUUUCUCAACUAUCAAUUUCUUAAAAUUAAGAUAAUCUUAUCCAAAAACUAGUCGGAAUUUUCAUUUUUAGCGAUUUUAGUUAUUUUUCAGCAGAUAAAACUAAAAUAAUUAACAAUUAAUAAAAUAGGAUUAUAAAUUUUAAUAAAAUUUUCCAACAGACCUGUAGCUGAGAAAAAAGUCUUUAGGAUAAAAUAGUAAUUUCUUAAAAUAAAUUUUUUAUUGUAUUUAUGUGUAAUGUGGGAAUCUUCGGUUGAAUAUUAUUAUUUUCAUAUAAAAUAACUUUGAGGGAAGAGAUUUUUACAUAAACAUACUGUUAUUUAUUUUUUUAUUUUACUGCAAGGAACUAUCAUCUGCCAAAUAGAAAAAGUAAUAUUUUUUUUGUAAACCACAAGUAAAUAUAAUAUAAUACUUUGUGGUCCAACUACAUAUAUGCUAUUUUAAAAAAAAUAAAAAUAAAAUCAAAACUGCAAAAUAAUUUAACUUAAUCCACCUUGGACAAAUUGGAGUCUACUCUUUUUAUUAUGCAAUUUCCCCCUGUUCACAUUUCAUCUCAAAACGCAAGGUCUCUUUUUACAUUUAGCCCCCUCAAUUUUUUUUUUUUUUUUUUAUAAAUGGAUCUAUCAAAUUUAUAUUUACAUACAUGGUCCUCUUUUUACUAUACAAGCACUGCAUUGAUAAUUUUAAGUUGAACAAAAUAAUUAAAUCACCGUGUUAUCACCGUACUCAUAUUCACAAUUUAAUUCCUUUUUUACUUGGGAACAAUACUGUGAUCCAAUCACCGUAUUUAAUUUAAAGACGCCAUCUACGCGCUUACGUGCAAAUAUAAAUUCGUUAGAAUUAUUGAGUUUGGCUAUAGUGCUUGUAAAAGCACCAAACACUUGAUACUUGUAAAUUUUCUACCAUUAGAUCUACGUUUUUUAUUAUUUUCACCCGUUAAAUUAUACUAUUCAACCAAUCAUACACUCAAUGCUAGGGGCCCACAUCAUUCUAAUCGUACAUCCCUUAAUCCAAGGAUCGAAAGCUUACAAAUAUCAACGACUUAAUACUUUUAAAAAUAUGGAAGCUCAAUUCAGAAUAAUUAUAAAAAGAAUUUGAGGAUGUUAAAUACCAAAAAAAAAAAGAAAGCUCAAAACGCAACUUAUCACUAAUAGUAGUUUUUUAUUUUUUU
rnacentral:lncRNA from 1 species